rnacentral:rRNA from 1 species
GCGGUAAUACGGAGGGGGCAAGCGUUGUUCGGAAUUAUUGGGCGUAAAGGGCACGUAGGUGGACUAGUAAGUUAAAAGUGAAAUACCAAAGCUUAACUUUGGAGCGGCUUUUAAUACUGCUAGACUAGAGGUCGAAAGAGGAUAGCGGAAUUCCUAGUGUAGAGGUGAAAUUCGUAGAUAUUAGGAGGAACACCAGUUGCGAAGGCGGCUAUCUGGUUCGAUACUGACACUGAGGUGCGAAAGCGUGGGGGAGCAAACAGGAUUAGAUACCCUGGUAGUCCACGCUGUAAACGAUGAGUGCUA